AGCAAACAACACCAAUCUAAAUACUGCAUACUGUGAGACAAAACAAGCACACAAUAUAAAUAUAAUAUAUUAAAUCUACAGUUUGAAUAACGGGGGAAAGGUGAAAGAAGAGGAAGAAAUAGAAGCAGCUGCUUCUGAUUGGCGCAGACGGGACACGUGACCAGCCUCACUUGCAUAUCGAACGUGCAGGUGAGCGUGGGAAGGAGAAAGCAGUUUCAGAUAUGCGGCCCACACGUCCACAUCCAACUGCUGGAUAGGGACUUAUGUCGGUUUACCGGAGAAUGUCGCUUUGAAACGGGAGUCACCGGAGUUCGUCUCACCUGGACGCUCAGUAACCGACAGAUGUUCCACUCCUAUUUGCAUCUCACUGAAGCCAUCUUGGUCCAGAUGUGAGAGCACAAGCUGUGCAGAUCAGAUCGAUACUUUCUGUUCCUCAGGGAGG